UAAUACGGAGGGUGCAAGCGUUAUCCGGAUUUACUGGGUUUAAAGGGUGCGUAGGCGGGCCUAUAAGUCAGUGGUGAAAUCCUCCGACUCAAUCGGAGAACUGCCAUUGAUACUAUUGGUCUUGAAUACAGUUGAGGUGGGCGGAAUGUGUCGUGUAGCGGUGAAAUGCUUAGAUAUGACACAGAACACCGAUUGCGAAGGCAGCUCGCUAAACUGAUAUUGACGCUGAGGCACGAAAGCGUGGGGAUCAAACAGGAUUAGAUACCCUGGUAGUCCACGCCCUAAACGAUGAUUACUCGAUCUGUGCGAUACACUGUACGGGUCUAUGCAAAAGCAUUAAGUAAUCCACCUGGGGAGUACGACCGCAAGGUUG
rnacentral:rRNA from 1 species